UUCCUACGGGGCGCAGCAGUGGGGAAUAUUGGGCAAUGGACGCAAGUCUGACCCAGCAACGCCGCGUGAAGGAAGAAGGCUUUCGGGUUGUAAACUUCUUUUAAGGGGGAAGAGCAGAAGACGGUACCCCUUGAAUAAGCCACGGCUAACUACGUGCCAGCAGCCGCGGAAAUACGUAGGUGGCAAGCGUUGUCCGGAUUUACUGGGUGUAAAGGGCGUGCAGCCGGAGAGACAAGUCAGAUGUGAAAUCCACGGGCUAAACCCGUGAACGGCAUUGGAAACUGAUUCCCUGGAGAGUCGGAGAG
rnacentral:rRNA from 1 species